ACUGCUUUGCCCUCUCUGCUUUUCAUUCUCCCAUCUCCAUCUGCCUUCUACACAUACCUGUCUUUCCUUCAGGUAUUUUCUGUCCCACCAUGCUGUACAUCUGUAUCUUAUCAAGUUCCUCUUUCAAUUCCAGGGUAUCUCUUGUGGCUCUCUGGGCCCUUCUCUCAGAUUUAGGCAAAAUCAUUUGCCAAAUUUUAGUUCACAGAUUAUUGUUCAAAUGUCAAAGUCUUAUGCUCACAUACAUUAGUUCAGGGGAUUUGUAUAAACCCUGAUGUACAGCUUGAUGUAUAGUGAUAAAAGCACAGUACCUGGUGCUUGUGUUAUUCAUUAUGUAAAUUUAUCUGUCUGGAAAUUACAGCAUCAGGCUUGGAUGCUGAGUGAGCUUGAUAUUUGUGAACAAUUUUAUGCUAUGAGCUUUACUCUUCCCCUUUGUCACUGAGGAUGUUUGCAGAGAUUUAAGCAUUGUUUUUAUUUUGGCAGCGGCCAAAUGCUCGGAGCAGGAAGUGACUGCACCCUGAUGGCUGUCAUUUCCCCUCUGUGCGACUCCUGUUUACUGCCAGCUGCUUUCUUACAAACGCAUUGUGGCCUUUGAUACAGCAGGCCCCACCGCUGACUCAGAGCUAGUAAGCCUUCUGUGACUGAUUGUUUGUGCUGUUCUUCACAAGUGAUAAGAGAACUACUCCCUGUGUCUGGGCAGAGAUGGCUGAGCGAAGUCACUUGCUGAAGCCUUCAGCCAUCUCAGAGCACCUGGAGCCUCCAGCUCAGAGAGGCUGCUGCUGUUUUUCAGUGAUCUCCACAGGUUUGUUAAUACUUAUGCUCAGUGUAUGGGUGAAAUGAUUGGCAGGCUGCCAUCGACAUCUUGGAAGGAAGACUCUCCAGAAUAAACACAGCAUAUAGCCUCCCAUGUUACAUAUAUGGAGGAUUAUUAUUAUUAUUAUUAUUUUAAAUAAAAGUAAAAGUAAUGUUUUUUGUAUAAAGAGGGAAGGGAAACAGACCGUGUCUUUUCAAAGUUAACAUCUCUCCUCCAAUAAGACUCUAAUCAUAUCUAAGUAGGACCUAGUAAAUUUGAAUCUUCUUUGCUGUAUAAUGGUAAUUUUUUAAAAAAUAUUGUUAUUUCCUAUUAAAACAGAAAAAG
rnacentral:lncRNA from 1 species